AACGAACGCUGGCGGCAUGCCUAACACAUGCAAGUCGAACGAGACCUUCGGGUCUAGUGGCGCACGGGUGCGUAACGCGUGGGAACCUUCCCUUAGGUUCGGAAUAACUCCCCGAAAGGGGUGCUAAUACCGGAUAAUGUCUUCUGACCAAAGAUUUAUCGCCUUUGGAUGAGCCCGCGUUGGAUUAGCUAGUUGGUAGGGUAAAAGCCUACCACGGCGAGGAUCCAUAGCUGGUCUGAGAGGAUGAUCAGCCACACUGGGACUGAGACACGGCCCAGAAUCCUACGGGAGGGAGCAGUGGGGAAUACUGGACAAUGGGCGAAAGGAUGAUCCAGCAAGGCCGGGUGAGUGAUGAAGGCCGUAGGGUUGUACAGCUCUUUUACCCGGGAUGAUAAUGACAGUACCGGGAGAAUAAGCUCCGGCUAACUCCGUG
rnacentral:rRNA from 1 species